AUUGAACGCUGGCGGAAUGCUUUACACAUGCAAGUCGAACGGCAGCACGGGAGCUUGCUCCUGGUGGCGAGUGGCGAACGGGUGAGUAAUAUAUCGGAACGUAUCCAAUAAUGGGGGAUAACUAGUCGAAAGAUUAGCUAAUACCGCAUACGCCCUGAGGGGGAAAGCUGGGGAUCUUCGGACCUAGCGUUAAUGGAGCGGCCGAUAUCUGAUUAGCUAGUAGGUGAGGUAAAAGCUCACCUAGGCGACGAUCAGUAGCUGGUCUGCGAGGACGACCAGCCACACUGGAGCUGAGACACGGCCCAGACUCCUACGGGAGGCAGCAGUGGGGAAUUUUGGACAAUGGGCGCAAGCCUGAUCCAGCCAUUCCGCGUGAGUGAAGAAGGCCUUCGGGUUGUAAAGCUCUUUCGCAAGGGAAGAAAACUUAACCUCUAACAUAGGUUGAGGCUGACGGUACCUUGAUAAGAAGCACCGGCUAACUACGUGCCAGCAGCCGCCGUAA
rnacentral:rRNA from 1 species